rnacentral:rRNA from 1 species
GACGAACGCUGGCGGCGUGCUUAACACAUGCAAGUCGAACGGAAAGGCCCUGCUUUUGUGGGGUGCUCGAGUGGCGAACGGGUGAGUAACACGUGAGUAACCUGCCCUUGACUUUGGGAUAACUUCAGGAAACUGGGGCUAAUACCGGAUAGGAGCUCCUGCUGCAUGGUGGGGGUUGGAAAGUUUCGGCGGUUGGGGAUGGACUCGCGGCUUAUCAGCUUGUUGGUGGGGUAGUGGCUUACCAAGGCUUUGACGGGUAGCCGGCCUGAGAGGGUGACCGGCCACAUUGGGACUGCGAUACGGCCCAGACUCCUACGGGAGGCAGCAGUGGGGAAUAUUGCACAAUGGGCGGAAGCCUGAUGCAGCAACGCCGCGUGCGGGAUGAUGGCCUUCGGGUUGUAAACCGCUUUCGCCUGUGACGAAGCGUGAGUGACGGUAAUGGGUAAAGAAGCACCGGCUAACUACGUG